GGCGGACGACUGAUUUCUUUCUAAUUCUGAUUGCAAAGCGGUCGGCGAGAUCGCUCUUUGUCGGGGAAAUGGAAGGCGUGGACGCCGACCUCCCCGGCGAUCGUUUCGACGGAGGCACGGGCGGCGCCUAGGAGAACGCCUGGAGUUUCCUAGCUUUGGCUCGCCAGCUCGUCGUCACGGUGAGUUCCCUAAACAUACCUCUAUUUUUUUUGUUUCUUUAAUCUCAUCGUCGAAUCGAAUAUGUAUUUUGCCCAUUAGGAAAUUGUGAGUUGUUUAAAUCUGACAUCGCUGAUCUGGUAUUGUUCGUCGAUCGGUGCUCAUGUGUUUUCGCUUCUGAUGAAGGAGGCGGAGGAUUCAAGGUUUUCAGAUUAAUAUGCGUUUCUGUUUGUUUGAAUCGUUAAACGAACAUUUUCAGCUUUCCCUUUGCAGUUUCUUGAUCUUCUUUGGGUGGAUAUGGAAUUAGAAUCCCUAUUCAUUGUUAAUGUAACAUUUUUGUGUUGUGUUUCUACACUAGCAGCUUCAGUUAUAAUUUUGCUAGAGUCUGGUGGAUCCAUUGGGAGACAAUAUACGUGCUAAAAUGCUCUGAAUGAAUUUGUUCAUGUCAUUUCAUUGGCUCAUUAAUUGAAAAAAAAAAAGCAUACAUAAAUUACUGUCGAAUUGCCCAGCUUUGUGUUCUUUGGGGCUUCAGCCUUGGCUUAGAACCAUGUAUCCCACUCAGAUUGGCCUUGGUCUAGAUUUAUAAGGUACAACAAAGGUACUUUUUUUUCUUUGAAUUGGGGUGAUUUUCUUAAUAUCUGAAUACUUUUGUGUUUGUGCACACAAACUUUGAUUGUUUAACCACUUAUUCUUAAAAUUGUUAACCACUUUUUCUUUGACUAGUUUGAGAACAUUGCCAGCCUUCUGGGCCUUAUCAUUAAUUAUCUUUUACAAACUUCUUGUCCAUUUUGUUUGACCACUUGUCUGAAGUAAUAGCCCCUUUUUGGAGUCCUGAUUUGUGUUUCACUUAUUAGGAUUUUUUUUUCCUCUUGAUUGCUUACAUUGGUAAGAUCAGAAUACUAAACCUCCUGCUAUGAUACUUAUCCCCCAAGCUUAAGUAGUUAGAAAAUGUUUCCCCAUUGUAAUCAAAUUGAGACCUCAAGUCUGGCCGAUACUGACUGAGAACUCCGUCCGAGACCUCUAAUUUGGCUAAGACCUUCUAGUCGAGACCUCCAGUCUAGUUACCUUCGAUCUGGCUGAGACUUCUUGGUCGAGACCUCCAGUCUGGCUGAAAUCCCUGGCCGAGACCUCCAAGCUAACUAAGACCUCAUGGCUAAGACCUCCAAUCUAGCCUAUGGCUGAGACCUCCUGAUUGAGUUCUAGUAUGGCUGAGACCUGCUGCUCUCCUAGAACAAGGACUUUUCCUAGACUUCUUUUGGUGGUUCUGCAAACUUAAAGCUGCUCAUUUGUUUUUUUUUUAGCAGCGUCAGCUAUGUUUUUCUCUCAAUUGCUUACAUUGGUAAGAUCAGAAUACCAGACAUCCUGUUUCACUACUUAUCCCCCAAGCUUAAGUUGUCAGAAACCUCCAUACUUCUGUAUCCUUAAGAGGUGUUUUGCUACUUCUUGUGGGGCAAAGAUUGGUUACCUGUCCAAGAGUGGUUAGCUUAUACAACUAUGGUUUAUAUUGAUUAUGAUAAUAUUCGUUUUGCCUGGAUAAUUGCAAAAAUUAAAUACCACGGAUAAGAAACUUGUGAUGAU